GUGCUCGCUUCGGCAGCAUAUAUACUAAAAUUAGAACAAUACAAAGAUUAGUAUGGUCCCUGUGCAAGGAUGACAAGCAAAUUCGCGAACUGUUCCAUAUUUUU